rnacentral:rRNA from 1 species
ACACAUGCAAGUCGAACGGACUUAAGGGGCUUGCUUCUUAAGUUAGUGGCGCACGGGUGAGUAAUAUAUAGCUAACCUGCCCUUUAGUGGGGGACAACAGUUGGAAACGACUGCUAAUACCCUAUACUCCUUCUUGUCUUAAGACGAGUCGGGAAAGAUUUAUCGCUAAAGGAUGGGGCUUUAUUGUAUCAGCUAGUUGGUGAGGUAAUGGCUCACCAAGGCAAUGACGCAUACCUGGUCUGAGAGGAUGAUCAGGCACACUGGAACUGAGACACGGUCCAGACUCCUACGGGAGGCAGCAGUGGGGAAUAUUGCACAAUGGAGGAAACUCUGAUGCAGCAACGCCGCGUGGAGGAUGACGCAUUUCGGUGUGUAGACUCCUUUUAUAGGGGAAGAUAAUGACGGUACCCUAUGAAUAAGCACCGGCUAACUCCGUGCCAGCAGCCGCGGUAAUACGGAGGGUGCAAGCGUUACUCGGAAUCACUGGGCGUAAAGGAUGCGUAGGCUGGAAAUCAAGUCGAAAGUGAAAUCCAACGGCGUAACCGUUGAACUGCUUUCGAAACUGGUUA